AAACUUGCUGAGUUUGCGAAGGCGGACAUAUCCACAUGGAAAAGUUAUUCGAGGGAUGUCGUCAGCCUUCAUUUAAGACGAAGUCUUUUGAUGGCUUAGUGACGAGAUUCAUCAUCGCUCCCUGCUCAAAAUGGUUUUCGCAGGAGCAACUGCCGUAGCACACUCCGUUUGGAAAACGGGAAUAUUCGUUCAAGCCACAUUUGGACUGAUGCGGAGGAUUUUCUGAGACCAGAAAUAUUGCGUCAUAUUCCAUCGUGGGAAAUUAUCUUUUCCGUGGUUGAUUUCAAUGAGGUCAUGACGCUGGACGGAGGGUUGAAUAUGUGAUUUCGAAUUUGGUGCAGGUGGUCGUAGAGUAAUUGCUGGAGUUAUCGUCACUGCAGACAUUAAUGUGGAGGUUGAAGGGCUGCUGGGUGUGUUCCGAGUUUUUUCAAGAGAAGGUUCUAAUCAACGUAACUGGCGACAUUUCUCUUUGAUGAAGAUUGGGAGAUGGAUUUGGAGCAUGCAAGUACAGCAACCAACAAAGCCACCUGACGAUUAUUUCACUGAUGAGCACUGAUGUGAACGAGAAGGGCAUGCCAGUCUUGUCAAGGACACUUUUGCAUCUGCGGCGGCGCGUCUAGACAAUGCAAACACUGUUGAAGCUCGGAUUGCUCACGUCCUAGGGAUGUCAUAGUUAGGUCAUGAAAACUCGAGUAUCAUAAUUUUAGGGAGCAAACGUGGCACGCACAAGAUUAGAAAAUGGCAUUGUCAUGCCAACAACCCACAACAUAGCACAUGAUCCAACGAGCGGGUGUAUCGAUCCAGCAAAUUUAGAUUCUAGAUGCUGUGAACCGCUAAGCUGCUGGUAUCUAACACUAUCAAAUAAAAAAUUACAUGCAAUAUUUCAACAAGCAAUGUAGAUACUAUGGUUGAAGUUGCUACAAGCAUUGUU